rnacentral:rRNA from 1 species
GAUGAACGCUGGCGGCGUGCCUAAUACAUGCAAGUCGAGCGAACAGACGAGGAGCUUGCUCCUCUGACGUUAGCGGCGGACGGGUGAGUAACACGUGGAUAACCUACCUAUAAGACUGGGAUAACUUCGGGAAACCGGAGCUAAUACCGGAUAAUAUAUUGAACCGCAUGGUUCAAUAGUGAAAGACGGUUUUGCUGUCACUUAUAGAUGGAUCCGCGCCGCAUUAGCUAGUUGGUAAGGUAACGGCUUACCAAGGCAACGAUGCGUAGCCGACCGGAGAGCGUGAUCCGCCACACUGGAAGUGAGACACGGUCCAGACUCCUACGGGAGGCAGCAGUAGGGAAUCUUCCGCAAUGGGCGAAAGCCUGACGGAGCAACGCCGCGUGAGUGAUGAAGGUCUUCGGAUCGUAAAGCUCUGUUAUUAGGGAAGAACAAAUGUGUAAGUAACUAUGCACGUCUUGACGGUACCUAAUCAGAAAGCCACGGCUAACUCCGUG